UUGUUAUAUUUUAGACUUGUCAGUACUUCAAUAUUGCCCACGGUGUUGGACGUCGUAUUUUAGUGAGUUCACCUUCCUCAAUAACAAAGUGCUGCGAUACAGAUAAUUGUAACAAGGAUCUGUUAUGUCCUGGCGGGAUUUGUGGCGGUAUUCUUAGUACAACUAACACAGCUUGUCUAGAUGAUGAUAUCCCAAUCUGUAAAGAUCCAAACACUGUACGUCUUGUGUGCAAAGAACAUGAUUU